GUGGGGAAUAUUGGACAAUGGGCGCAAGCCUGAUCCAGCCAUGCCGCGUGAGUGAUGAAGGCCUUAGGGUUGUAAAGCUCUUUCGUCAGGGAAGAUAAUGACGGUACCUGAAGAAGAAGCCCCGGCUAACUUCGUGCCAGCAGCCGCGGUAAUACGAAGGGGGCUAGCGUUGCUCGGAAUCACUGGGCGUAAAGCGCACGUAGGCGGCUUUCUAAGUCAGGGGUGAAAUCCUGGAGCUCAACUCCAGAACUGCCUUUGAUACUGGAGAGCUUGAGUUCGGGAGAGGUGAGUGGAACUGCGAGUGUAGAGGUGAAAUUCGUAGAUAUUCGGAAGAACACCAGUGGCGAAGGCGACUCACUGGCCCAAUACUGACGCUGAGGCGCGAAAGCGUGGGGAGCAAACAGGAUUAGAAACCCUAGUAGUCC
rnacentral:rRNA from 1 species